GGAACCCUCGCACCUGCCCGGGGAGGUGGGGGCAAGGGGGAGCCCUCGCACCUGCGCCGGGAGGUGGGGGCAAGGGGGAGCCCUCGCACCUGCUCCGGGGCAGGGCCGGGGACAGCCAGGUGUGUGUGUGGGGGAAUAGGAGAGCCCUCGCACCUGCACCUGGGCGGGGCCGGGGACAGCCAGGUGUGUGGGGGGAUAGGAGAGCCCUCGCACCUGCACCUGGGCGGGGCCGGGGACAGCCAGGUGUGUGGGGGGAUAGGAGAGCCCUCGCACCUGCACCUGGGCGGGGCCAGGGACAGCGCGCACCUGCGCCUGGGCGGGGCCUGAGACAGCCAGGAGUUGGGGGCUAUAGCAGAGCCCUCGCACCUGCACCUGGACGGGACGCGCACCUGCGCCUGGGCAGGGCCUGGGACAGCCAGGAGUUGGGGGGGGAUAGCAGAGCCCUCCCACCUGCGCCUGGGCGGGGCCGGGGCGGCCGGGAGUUGGGGGGGAUGGGGAAGCCCUCGCACCUGCGCCGGGGCGGGGCCCGGAUCUGCGCCCGGACGGCCCUCCCAUCCGGUACAUCCACGUCAGAUGACCUGACAUUCUGCGCCCACCUUGCUCUUUGUAGAAUCGGGCACUUUUUAAAAGCCUGCAUUUGUUAUGACCAUUCACGGACACCCACAGUCACGUAUCAGCUGAGGACACAGGUUGGCUGUGCAGUGAAAGAAGUGAAAGGAAAUGGAGUCUAGGGUCUCCUGCCCACAUUUAACUCCACUACCAGAAGAAGGAAGAAUUCAUUUUUCUCUCUACCUGUAAGUGCAAAGAGCAGUUCGAAUGUGAUGUACUGGAAGCUUCCUACGGCAGGAGGAAGAGGAGUUCCUGCCACGUAGUAAGCACUGCACAAUUUAGUAGCUGAAAGCAACCACCAUUUAGCUCCCAGUUCUGGGGGUUGGCUCAGCUUGGUUGGUUCUUCAGCCCUGGGUGAGCCUGGCUUGCUUACCCACGUACAGGCUGGCUGGGGUUAGCUGGGCCACACUGAUCCCUCCCUCGGGGGCCCAGCAAGCUAGUCCAUCUGGCCUUCCUCUCUGGUGGGGGCAGGCUUCAGAGAGAGCAAGUGUGCCAGGCUUUUUGAGAUCUAGGCUCAAACUGGAAUACUGUCACUUCUGCUACACUCUGUUGGCCAAAGCAAGACACAGGGGCAGCCCAGAUUCAAGAGUUGGGGAAAACAGACCCCCAGCUCUUAACAGGAAGGCUUGCAGAGUGAUAUAGGGAGAGGGAUGGGUGGAUGCAAGUGGGGGAAAAAGAAUGAGUCCCCUUUUACCAUCUGUUUACCACCAGAGGAGUAGUGUUCAGAAUAAAAUGCUCCCAGAGCACA
rnacentral:lncRNA from 1 species